UUAAUCUUUAGAUGAAGAAGCCUAAAUAAAAUUAAAGGACAAAAAGACCCCGUAGAGCCUUAUUUAACUUUAGAAACAGCCACUAUGCUUACCACCUAAACUCAAAUCUAGUUGGGGCGACUCAUGAAUACCAAAACCUUCCUGCCACCAAAACACCCAUUGAUCCAAUAUUGAACCAAAAACCUGAUUAACAAAAUAGGCUACCUCGGGGAUAAAAGACUAAUCCUUCUCAAAAGACCUAAUUAACAGAAGGGGUUAGCACCUCGAUGUUGGCUUACGGGCCCCCUAGAAGUGCACGAGCUUCUCGGGGAGGUUCGUUCAACCGUCAAUUCCCUACGUGAUC
rnacentral:rRNA from 1 species